AGAGUUUGAUCAUGGCUCAGAACGAACGCUGGCGGCAGGCCUAAUACAUGCAAGUCGCACGGGAAGCCCCCUUCGGGGGGUGGAGAGUGGCGCACGGGUGAGUAACGCGUGGGAACCUAUCCCGGGGUGGGGGAUAACCACUGGAAACGGUGGCUAAUACCGCACGAUCCCUGAGGGGCAAAGCAGCGAUGCGCCCUGGGAGGGGCCCGCGUCCGAUUAGCUAGUUGGCGGGGUAAGAGCCCACCAAGGCGGUGAUCGGUAGCUGGUCUGAGAGGAUGAUCAGCCACACUGGGACUGAGACACGGCCCAGACUCCUACGGGAGGCAGCAGUAGGGAAUAUUGGACAAUGGGCGCAAGCCUGAUCCAGCCAUGCCGCGUGAGUGAUGAAGGCCUUAGGGUUGUAAAGCUCUUUCGCACGCGAGGAUGAUGACGGUAGCGUGAGAAGAAGCCCCGGCUAACUUCGUGCCAGCAGCCGCGGUAAUACGAAGGGGGCUAGCGUUGUUCGGAAUUACUGGGCGUAAAGGGCGCGUAGGCGGUCGAUCGCGUUGGGUGUGAAAGCCCCGGGCUCAACCUGGGAUGUGCGCCCGAAACGGGUCGGCUGGAGAUCGGAAGAGGAGAGUGGAAUUCCCAGUGUAGAGGUGAAAUUCGUAGAUAUUGGGAAGAACACCGGUGGCGAAAGCGGCUCUCUGGUCCGAUUCUGACGCUGAGCGCGAAAGCGUGGGGAGCAAACUGGAUUAGAUACCCUGGUAGUCCACGCUGUAAACGAUGCGUGCUAGACGUUGGGAGGCCUAACCUCUCGGUGUCGCAGUCAACACGUUAAGCACGCCGCCUGGGAGUACGCGCAAGUAAACUCAAAGGAAUUGACGGGGCCGCACAGCGUGGAGCAUGUGGUUAAUUCGAUGCAACGCGCAGAAUCC
rnacentral:rRNA from 1 species